AUACUUACCUGGUGGGGGAGAGACCAUGAUCAAAAAGCCAGUUCUCCCAGAUCGAGGCUAUCCCAUUGCACUUCGGGUGUGCUGACACCUGUGAUGUCCCAAAGGCGGGAUUCUCAACUGCAAAAGUUGUGGUAGUGGGGGACUGUGUUCACACUAAG